rnacentral:pre_miRNA from 1 species
GGAAACUUGGAAACUACCAUUGGAUCAAAAAAUAGAUAUCCGAGAUUCGUUCACGUCAUCACGAGUAAACAUUUUACUCACGAUGACGUGGACGAAUCUCGAACGUCUAUUUUUCAAUCCAACGGUAGUUUCCAAGUUUUC